UAUUGGGAGUGUUCCGCUCUGAUGAACCCAUCUGAUUCUCUCUUGUAAGGUUACUUGGACUGUGAACACGAAUUUCUGAUACCGAGCAAGAUAUUGGUGGCAAAGAAUACGUACACUUCGGAUCAUAUAUUGAAUUUUCCGCAGAGGUACCACAUGUAUCCGUCAUUGGGAUAUUUUGUGUGAAGGUAUCAAAUUCGUUACCCGUUAGGUCGAUCG
rnacentral:misc_RNA from 1 species